rnacentral:tRNA from 1 species
AAAGUUCUCCAACACA